CAGCAGCCGCGGUAAUACGUAGGUGGCAAGCGUUAUCCGGAAUUAUUGGGCGUAAAGCGCGCGUAGGCGGUUUUUUAAGUCUGAUGUGAAAGCCCACGGCUCAACCGUGGAGGGUCAUUGGAAACUGGAGAACUUGAGUGCAGAAGAGGAAAGUGGAAUUCCAUGUGUAGCGGUGAAAUGCGCAGAGAUAUGGAGGAACACCAGUGGCGAAGGCGACUUUCUGGUCUGUAACUGACGCUGAUGUGCGAAAGCGUGGGGAUCAAACAGGAUUAGAGACCCCUGUAGUCCCUGUCUCUUAUAC
rnacentral:rRNA from 1 species